rnacentral:rRNA from 1 species
AUUGAACGCUGGCGGCAGGCCUAACACAUGCAAGUCGGGCGAGCGGUGGACGGGUGAGUAAUGUAUGGGGAUCUGCCUGAUGGAGGGGGAUAACUACUGGAAACGGUAGCUAAUACCGCAUAACAUCAGAUGAACCCAUAUGGGAUUAGCUUGUAGGUGAGGUAACGGCUGACCUAGGCGACGAUCCCUAGCUGGUCUGAGAGGAUGAUCAGCUACACUGGGACUGAGACACGGCCCAGACGCCUACGGUAGGCAGCAGUGGGGAAUAUUGCACAAUGGGCGCAAGCCUGAUGCAGCCAUGCCGCGGGUAUGAAGAAGGCUUUCGGUUUGUAAAGUACAUUCAGUCGGGAGGCGUUACCGACAGAAGAAGCACCGGCUAACUCCGUGCCAGCCGCCGCGGUAAUAC